UUUCUCUAAUGAAGUUUUUGCACUGGGCUCAGACUCUCACUGCUGAUGCACGUGCAGCUCUGGCCCGACAAGCCAGAGUCUGAAGAGAUU
ensembl:snoRNA Small nucleolar RNA SNORD88